GCCUUCGUGGUGUAGUGGUCAGCAUGCUCGACGUGAAAUCAAGAGGUCCUUGGUUCGAGUCCAGGCGAGGGCA